UGGGUUGUGGCUCAGUGGUAGAACUCUCCCCUAGCACGGGAGAGGCCCUGGGUUCCAUCUCAGCACCACAU
rfam:Ictidomys tridecemlineatus contig099967, whole genome shotgun sequence.